UACGAAGGUCCCAAGCGUUAUCCGGAUUUAUUGGGUUUAAAGGGUGCGUAGGCGGACUAUUAAGUCAGUGGUGAAAGCCCCAAGCUUAACUUGGGAACUGCCAUUGAUACUGAUGGUCUUGAGUACAUUUGAGGUGGGCGGAAUGUGUCAUGUAGCGGUGAAAUGCUUAGAUAUGACACAGAACACCGAUUGCGAAGGCAGCUCACUAAACUGUAAACUGACGCUGAGGCACGAAAGCGUGGGGAGCAAACAGG
rnacentral:rRNA from 1 species